rnacentral:tRNA from 1 species
CAGAGCAUAGCUUAAAAAAAGCACCUCGCUUACACCGAGCCGCUGUCUAUUAACACGGACUACUCUGAG